CAAUAGCGUAUAUUAAAGUUGUUGCAGUUAAAAAGCUCGUAGUUGGAUUUCUGGUUGAAGCGACCGGUCGGGCGUUGAUUCGUCUGCACUGGAGUCGGUUUUGGCCAUCCUCUAGGAAAGUGCGUCUGGUAUUAAGUUAUCGGGUGUAUGAUCCUGGUCUUUUACUGUGAAAAAAUUAGAGUGUUUAAAGCAGGCCUUCGCCUUGAAUACAUUAGCAUGGAAUAAUAAGAUAGGACUUUGGUCUAUUUUGUUGGUUUGCAGACCGAAGUAAUGAUUAAUAGGGAUAGUUGGGGGUAUUUAUAUUCCGAUGUCAGAGGUGAAAUUCUUAGAUUUUCGGAAGAUAAACUUAUGCGAAAGCAUUUACCAAGGAUGUUUUCAUUAA
rnacentral:rRNA from 1 species